ensembl:snRNA U6 U6 spliceosomal RNA
GUGCUCACGUUGGCAGCACCUAAACUAAAACUGGAAAGAUACAGAGAAGAUCAGCAUGGCCCAGCUCAAGGAUGACACGAAAAUUCAUGAAGUGUUCCACAUUUUU